CCUACGGGAGGCAGCAGUGAGGAAUAUUGGUCAAUGGGCGAAAGCCUGACGCAGCGACGCCGCGUGAGGGAUGAAGGUCUUCGGAUCGUAAACCUCUGUCAGCAGGGAAGAAAGGUCACUGUGCUAAUCAGCAGUGAAUUGACGGUACCUGCAAAGGAAGCACCGGCUAACUCCGUGACAGCAGCCGCGGUAAUACGGAGGGUGCGAGCGUUAAUCGGAAUUACUGGGCGUAAAGGGCUCGUAGGCGGGAUGGCAAGUCAAGGGUGAAAUCCCCGCGCUCAACGUGGGAACUGCCUUUGAAACUGGCAAACUGGAGUGUGUGAGAGGAUAGUGGAAUUCCAGGUGUAGGAGUGAAAUCCGUAGAUAUCUGGAGGAACAUCAGUGGCGAAGGCGACUAUCUGGCACAUAACUGACGCUGAGGAGCGAAAGCGUGGGUAGCAAACAGGAUUAGAUACCCGAGUAGUC
rnacentral:rRNA from 1 species